rnacentral:rRNA from 1 species
GACGGAGGAUGCAAGCGUUAUCCGGAAUGAUUGGGCGUAAAGCGUCCGCAGGUGGCAGUUCAAGUCUGCUGUCAAAGACCGGGGCUUAACUUCGGAAAGGCAGUGGAAACUGAACAGCUAGAGUAUGGUAGGGGCAGAGGGAAUUCCUGGUGUAGCGGUGAAAUGCGUAGAUAUCAGGAAGAACACCCGUGGCGAAAGCGGCUCUCUGGAACGGUACUGACGCUGAGACGCGAAAGCGUGGGGAGCAAACAGG